rnacentral:rRNA from 1 species
AUUGAACGCUGGCGGCAGGCCUAACACAUGCAAGUCGAACGGUAACAGGAAGCAGCUUGCUGCUUUGCUGACGAGUGGCGGACGGGUGAGUAAUGUCUGGGAAACUGCCCGAUGGAGGGGGAUAACUACUGGAAACGGUAGCUAAUACCGCAUAACGUCGCAAGACCAAAGAGGGGGACCUUAGGGCCUCUUGCCAUCGGAUGUGCCCAGAUGGGAUUAGCUAGUAGGUGGGGUAACGGCUCACCUAGGCGACGAUCCCUAGCUGGUCUGAGAGGAUGACAGCCCCAACGGGACCGGAGACCCGGCCCAGCCCCCUACGGGGGCCAGCGGGGGGGAAUAUUGCACAAUGGGCGAAAGCCUGCUGCAGCCAUGCGGUGUUUAUAAAGAAGGCCUUGGGUUUGAAAAGUUCUUUCGGGGGGGAGGAAGGGAGAAAAUUAAAUCCCUUCGCUCAUUGACGUUCCCCAAAGAAAAAGCCCCGGCUACCCCCGGG